CAGGCCUAACACAUGCAAGUCGAGCGGAUGAGAGGAGCUUGCUCCUCGAUUCAGCGGCGGACGGGUGAGUAAUGCCUAGGAAUCUGCCUAGUAGUGGGGGACAACGUUUCGAAAGGAACGCUAAUACCGCAUACGUCCUACGGGAGAAAGUGGGGGAUCUUCGGACCUCACGCUAUUAGAUGAGCCUAGGUCGGAUUAGCUAGUUGGUAGGGUAAAGGCCUACCAAGGCGACGAUCCGUAACUGGUAUGAGAGGAUGAUCAGUCACACUGGAACUGAGACACGGUCCAGACUCCUACGGGAGGCAGCAGUGGGGAAUAUUGGACAAUGGGCGAAAGCCUGAUCCAGCCAUGCCGCGUGUGUGAAGAAGGCCUUCGGGUCGUAAAGCACUUUAAGUUGGGAGGAAGGGCUCAUAGCGAAGACCUGUGAGUUUUGACGUGACCAACAGAAGAAGCACCGGCUAACUUAGUGCCAGCAGCCGCGGUAA
rnacentral:rRNA from 1 species